rnacentral:rRNA from 1 species
UGGGGAAUAUUGCACAAUGGGCGCAAGCCUGAUGCAGCCAUGCCGCGUGUAUGAAGAAGGCCUUCGGGUUGUAAAGUACUUUCAGCGGGGAGGAAGGUGUUGAGGUUAAUAACCUCAGCAAUUGACGUUACCCGCAGAAGAAGCACCGGCUAACUCCGUGCCAGCAGCCGCGGCAAUACGGAGGGCGCAAGCGUUAAUCGGAAUUACUGGGCGUAAAGCGCACGCAGGCGGUCUGUCAAGUCGGAUGUGAAAUCCCCGGGCUCAACCUGGGAACUGCAUUCGAAACUGGCAGGCUAGAGUCUUGUAGAGGGGGGUAGAAUUCCAGGUGUAGCGGUGAAAUGCGUAGAGAUCUGGAGGAAUACCGGUGGCGAAGGCGGCCCCCUGGACAAAGACUGACGCUCAGGUGCGAAAGCGUGGGGAGCAAACA